rnacentral:lncRNA from 1 species
CUAGCUUAGAGAACUUAGGGCUUAGGUGGUUAGACUAGCACGACAAGGUUUAGGACGUCUUGACCGCCUCUUGUCCCGUUGUUCCGAUAGUUAGCAUAUCUCUACUCCUCUCGGAGAAAAUCUUGUAUUCAUACUAUUCAAUAAAACGCCUCUGAGCGAUUAUCUAUCUUUUUAUCGUUUUAAAGUGAUUACGCAGAGAAUUCGGACCUUCAAGGAAAAACGGGUUGACUCGGUUUUCCUCCAUUAUUAUUUAUUAUAAUCGACAGUGUGAAUUUCGGUUCCCACUAAACGUUUAUUACGA